rnacentral:tRNA from 1 species
GGUCUCGUGGUCUAGCGGUAUGAUACUCGCUUAGGGAGGCAGCCUCACAGCAGCCUUGAAAACUCUAAGCCAAUUGCGAGUGGUCCCGGGUUCGAUUCCCGGCGAGACCC